rnacentral:rRNA from 1 species
AAUACGUUCUCAAGUCUUGUACUCACCGCCCGUCAACUCAAGGGAGUCGGGAGUGCCCGAAGACUCGCGUAAGCGGGCCACGGUAAACUCGAUGACAGGGAGU